GACGAACGCUGGCGGCGUGCCUAAUACAUGCAAGUCGAACGAACCGCGACUAGGUGCUUGCACUUGGUCAAGGUGAGUGGCGAACGGGUGAGUAACACGUGGGUAACCUACCUCAUAGUGGGGGAUAACAGUCGGAAACGACUGCUAAUACCGCAUAGGACAUAGGAUCACAUGAUCCAGUGAGGAAAGGUGGCGCAAGCUGUCGCUAAGAGAUGGACCCGCGGUGCAUUAGCUAGUUGGUAGGGUAAAGGCCUACCAAGGCGAUGAUGCAUAGCCGACCUGAGAGGGUGAUCGGCCACAUUGGGACUGAGACACGGCCCAAACUCCUACGGGAGGCAGCAGUAGGGAAUCUUCCGCAAUGGACGCAAGUCUGACGGAGCAACGCCGCGUGAGUGAAGAAGGUCUUCGGAUCGUAAAGCUCUGUUGUUAGAGAAGAACAGCGCAUAGAGUAACUGUUAUGCGUGUGACGGUAUCUAACCAGAAAGCCACGGCUAACUACGUG
rnacentral:rRNA from 1 species